GCUUGUCUCAAAGAUUAAGCCAUGCAUGUCUAAGUAUAAACAUCUUUAUACGUGAAACUGCGGACGGCUCAUUAAAUCAGUAAUUAUUUAUUUGAUGGUUCCUUACUACAUGGAUAUCUGUAGUAAUUCUAGAGCUAAUACAUGCGUAAAGUCCUUGUCCCUUGUGGAGAGGAUGUAUUUAUUAGAUAAAAAACUAACCUGGUUCUGCCAGUUUGUUGGUGACUCAUAGUAACUGUUCGAAUCGCAUGCCCUCGUGGUGGCGAUAGUUCAUUCAAAUUUCUGCCCUAUCAGCUUUCGAUGGUUGUAUAGUGGACAACCAUGGCAGUAACGGGUAACGGAGAAUUAGGGUUCGAUUCCGGAGAGGGAGCCUGAGAGAUGGCUACCACAUCCAAGGAAGGCAGCAGG
rnacentral:rRNA from 1 species